rnacentral:lncRNA from 1 species
UGAACGGGGGGGGGGGGGGGGGGGGGGGGAAAUAAUAGAGAGAUAAAAACACCUCCCUCAAGUGGAGUAUUUAUUGGUGACAAGGGGAUGGAAAAGAGCCAACAAUUAUUGAGUACAAAGCAAUUUAUACCGGUCCCUGAGGUAAGUGCUUCGCAAGCAUCAACUCAAAUUACAAACUAUGUGUUCAGAGAACUGAUAACCCUUGAGCAGAGUGUGGAUGUUGCUUUGAAAAUCCCUCGGAAGUUAUGUCAGCCAAAAGCUGGCAGGAAGCAAACGGUCCUGUCCGUGGGGUGAACUAGAGGAGACUUUGACGAUGACGUAACCACUUAGGAAGAUCUAUGUCAUGUCUAAAAGAAAGUAAACGGAAGAUGACGAAACGCUGCAGGACGAGCAACCACCGCCAAGGAGCCUGCAGGGACAAAGAGUGUCCUCAAGUCAUCAAGUACUUUAUUGGAUCUGAAUAAAUGUGCCAUGUGUUUUUUGGCAAAAUUGUAUCCUAGCCAGAUAUAUAACCCCAUGUUCAUAACCCCAGCCCUUAAGAAGUGGAGACAGGAAGACAGCAAGCUUGUCGUUAGCUUCAGCCACAUAGAGAAACCCUAUCUUAAACUCCCCAGAACACUAACAAGAACACUAAAAGGAGCAAUGGACUCAGAAGGACACGUCUUGUGUGUUCUCUCUUAAUCUGAGUGUGGGAUGUGUGGAAGUAGGAAGAAGCUGGGAGUGCCAGGGACAGGCCAGAAGGUGAUGGAGGUUGUUAUGCUCAUAGUAUUUGCCUGCCUGAGAGAACUCCAGCCCUAUUAUUUUGUAUACUUAAUAUCCAAUAAUAAAAUGUUUCUAAAUGACAUCAUUAUAAGUAUCUUUUCCCCACCUAUCCAAGCACAUAAUACAUAGUGCAAUUUUCUAUAGAGAGAAAAUUUUCAUCAGUCUAAUGCAUAUAUUAUCUAUUCUAGUCUACUUUAUUUAUUUA